rnacentral:rRNA from 1 species
AAGGGCCGCGGUAUUUUUGACCGUGCGAAGGUAGCAUAAUCAUUAGUCUUUUAAUUGGGGGCUCGAAUGAAUGGUCGGACGAAAAACAUACUGUUUGGAUAAAAAAUUGAAUUUAACUUUUAAGUGAAAAGGCUUGAAUAAAUUAAAAAGACGAUAAGACCCUAUAAAUCUUUACAUUUUAUUUUGUCCUUAAAAUUGUUUUAAGAGGGGAUAAGAGAUAGUUGUGUUGGGGCAACAAUUAUAUAGUAAGAUUAGCUGUUGAUGAGAUUAAACAAAUAGUUUGUUGUUGAUCCUUUUUAGAGAUUUAAAGAUUAAGUUACUUUAGGGAUAACAGCGUUAUUUUUUCUGAGAGUUCUUAUCGAAGAAAAAGAUUGCGACCUCGAUGUUGAAUUAAAAGAUCUUUUUGAUGUAGCAGUU